UUGACCUCGGAUCAGUAGGAUACCCGCUGAACUUAAGCUAU
rnacentral:rRNA from 1 species